GUGCCGGUGGUGUAAGGCGAACAUCGCUGCCCGGAAAGCAGAAGAUGCGGGUUCGAGUCCCGCUUGGCGCA
rnacentral:tRNA from 1 species